AGCAGCCGCGGUAAUUCCAGCUCCAAUAGCGUAUAUUAAAGUUGUUGCAGUUAAAAAGCUCGUAGUUGAACUUCGGGAUUUGCCCAUUGGUCAGGCUUAACUGUCUGCACUGGUGUGACGAGUUCCUACCUUCUGAGGAAUCUCCAUGUCAUUCAGUUGGUGUGGGGGGAAAUCAGGACUGUUACUUUGAAAAAAUUAGAGUGUUUAAAGCAGGCAUCCGUCUGAAUACAUUAGCAUGGAAUAAUAAAAUAGGACGGUUUGGUUCUAUUUUGUUGGUUUCUAGGAUCACCGUAAUGAUUAAUAGGGAUAGUUGGGGGCAUUAGUAUUCAAUUGUCAGAGGUGAAAUUCUUGGAUUUAUUGAAGACUAACUACUGCGAAAGCAUUUGCCAAGGAUGUUUUCAUUAAUCAAGAACGAAAGUUAGGGGAUCGAAGACGAUCAGAUACCGUCGUAGUCUUAACCAUAAACUAUGCCGACUAGGGAUCGGAUGAUGUAUUUUAAUGA
rnacentral:rRNA from 1 species